rnacentral:rRNA from 1 species
GAGUUUGAUCCUGGCUCAGGAUGAACGCUAGCGGCAGGCUUAACACAUGCAAGUCGAGGGGUAACAGAGAAAAGCUUGCUUUUUUGCUGACGACCGGCGCACGGGUGCGUAACGCGUAUGCAAUCUACCUUUUGCUAAGGGAUAGCCCAGAGAAAUUUGGAUUAAUACCUUAUAGUAUGAUGACUUGGCAUCAAGAUAUCAUUAAAGGUUACGGCAAAAGAUGAGCAUGCGUUCUAUUAGCUAGUUGGUGUGGUAACGGCAUACCAAGGCAACGAUAGAUAGGGGUCCUGAGAGGGAGAUCCCCCACACUGGUACUGAGACACGGACCAGACUCCUACGGGAGGCAGCAGUGAGGAAUAUUGGACAAUGGAGGCAACUCUGAUCCAGCCAUGCCGCGUGCAGGAAGACUGCCCUAUGGGUUGUAAACUGCUUUUAUACAGGAAGAAACACCUCUACGUGUAGAGAUUUGACGGUACUGUAAGAAUAAGGAUCGGCUAACUCCGUGCCAGCAGCCGCGGUAAUACGGAGGAUCCAAGCGUUAUCCGGAAUCAUUGGGUUUAAAGGGUCCGUAGGUGGAUAAUUAAGUCAGAGGUGAAAUCCUGCAGCUUAACUGUAGAAUUGCCUUUGAUACUGGUUGUCUUGAGUUGUUAUGAAGUGGUUAGAAUAUGUAGUGUAGCGGUGAAAUGCAUAGAUAUUACAUAGAAUACCAAUUGCGAAGGCAGAUCACUAAUAAUAUACUGACACUGAUGGACGAAAGCGUGGGGAGCGAACAGGAUUAGAUACCCUGGUAGUCCACGCCGUAAACGAUGGUCACUAGCUGUUCGGGUUUCGAUCUGAGUGGCUAAGCGAAAGUGAUAAGUGACCCACCUGGGGAGUACGUUCGCAAGAAUGAAACUCAAAGGAAUUGACGGGGGCCCGCACAAGCGGUGGAGCAUGUGGUUUAAUUCGAUGAUACGCGAGGAACCUUACCAGGGCUUAAAUGUGGUUUGACAGCUUUAGAGAUAGAGUUUUCUUCGGACAAAUCACAAGGUGCUGCAUGGUUGUCGUCAGCUCGUGCCGUGAGGUGUCA